rnacentral:rRNA from 1 species
GACGGAGGAGGCAAGCGUUAUCCGGAAUUAUUGGGCGUAAAGCGUCCGCAGGCGGCCUUUUAAGUCUGUUGUCAAAGCCCACAGCUCAACUGUGGAUCGGCAAUGGAAACUACAUAGCUAGAGUAAGGUAGGGGUAGAGGGAAUUCCCAGUGUAGCGGUGAAAUGCGUAGAGAUUGGGAAGAACACCGGUGGCGAAAGCGCUCUGCUGGGCCGCAACUGACACUAAUGGACGAAAGCUAGGGGAGCGAAUGGG